CGGCGGACGGGUGAGUAACGCGUGGAUAACCUGCCUCACACAGGGGGAUAACAGUUAGAAAUGACUGCUAAUACCGCAUAAGCGCACAGGACCGCAUGGUCCGGUGUGAAAAACUCCGGUGGUGUGAGAUGGACCCGCGUUUGAUUAGCUAGUUGGUGGGGUAACGGCCUACCAAGGCGACGAUCAAUAGCCGACCUGAGAGGGUGACCGGCCACAUUGGGACUGAGACACGGCCCAA
rnacentral:rRNA from 1 species